CGCAACCCUUAUCCUUUGUUGCCAGCGAUUAGGUCGGGAACUCAAAGGAGACUGCCAGUGAUAAACUGGAGGAAGGUGGGGAUGACGUCAAGUCAUCAUGGCCCUUACGACCAGGGCUACACACGUGCUACAAUGGCGCAUACAAAGAGAAGCGACCUCGCGAGAGCAAGCGGACCUCAUAAAGUGCGUCGUAGUCCGGAUUGGAGUCUGCAACUCGACUCCAUGAAGUCGGAAUCGCUAGUAAUCGUGGAUCAGAAUGCCACGGUGAAUACGUUCCCGGGCCUUGUACACACCGCCCGUCACACCAUGGGAGUGGGUUGCAAAAGAAGUAGGUAGCUUAACCUUCGGGAGGGCGCUUACCACUUUGUGAUUCAUGACUGGGGUGAAGUCGUAACAAGGUAACCGUAGGGGAACCUGCGGUUGGAUCACCUCCUUACCUUAAAGAA
rnacentral:rRNA from 2 species